ACGCACCAUUGGCACACGCACAUGCGAGCAAGCACACAAACGCAAAGAAGCCACACGCACAGGCGUUAAUGCGAUAGCCAAGUGAGUCAGAAAGAGAUGGUCGCCAGCUGAGGGAGUGCGAGGAGAAACACUAAGAAAGAUGAGCUACAGAACGGCGGAAGCACGCGGAAGCUAGGCGAAUGUACAACCACAAAAUUGGGUCAACGGCCCAGUUCAAAGUCGGUGCCCAGCAACGUGCACGCAGAGAAAAUGGGUAGCCUUUGAUAGCACCACGAAAUAAAUAAACUACUCAGAAAUCUGACCAACCAAUAUAAACUCGACCAAGACGUGCAAAAAUCAGUCAUGAAAUUGGUGACGAUAAAAGUUAAAAUGAAAUGUAUCUUAUGGAAUACUAUAUUAUACUAAUAUUAUUAUACUAUAA